GCCGGGGUAGCUCAGUUGGUUAGAGCAAGGGACUCAUAAGCCCUAGGUCGUCGGUUCGACUCCGACUCCCGGCA
rnacentral:tRNA from 2 species